CCAGCGUUUUCCGCGCCGUAGCUAACGCAUUAAGUAUUCCACCUGGGGAGUACGUUCGCAAGAAUGAAACUCAAAGGAAUUGACGGGGACCCGCACAAGCGGUGGAGCAUGUGGUUUAAUUCGACGCAACGCGAAGAACCUUACCAAGUCUUGACAUCCUUUUGACCGGUCGGUAAUGCGACCUUCUCUUCGGAGCAAAAGUGACAGGUGGUGCAUGGUUGUCGUCAGCUCGUGUCGUGAGAUGUUGGGUUAAGUCCCGCAACGAGCGCAACCCUUAUCUUUAGUAGCCAGCAUUUCGGAUGGGCACUCUAGAGAGACUGCCAGGGAUAACCUGGAGGAAGGUGGGGAUGACGUCAAAUCAUCAUGCCCCUUAUGACUUGGGCUACACACGUGCUACAAUGGCGUAAACAAAGGGACGCAAUACCGCGAGGUUGAGCAAAUCCCAAAAAUAACGUCUCAGUUCGGAUUGUAGUCUGCAACUCGACUACAUGAAGCUGGAAUCGCUAGUAAUCGCAAAUCAGAAUGUUGCGGUGAAUACGUUCCCGGGCCUUGUACACUCCGCC
rnacentral:rRNA from 1 species